GUCCCACUAGGCCAAUGAGAUGAGUAAGAACUGCCUGGCAGAGUAAGGGGUGCAGGGUCAGGCACAAAUUGAUCUGAAAAGUUCACUGGGGAAAAUCAGUUAAGGUGUAGGCUGCAUAGCAGAAUAAACAGACCCUUCAAGUGCUGAGGAGACCUCACUUCUCCAUGUGCAUCACACCGCCAUGCUGGACUGAGUUAGAAGGGCCAUGCUCAGGGCUCUGCUCAGCAUGGUGUGUAGAUAUCCCAGGAGGUGGAGAUCAAUGCUGCUGAGAAGGCAGGCUGUUAGAUCUACAAUGCAAGGAAAGGGCCAAGACACAGCAUAGGGAAAAUCAAUUUGAAAUGGUGAGUUUGCAAUACAAGCAAACAUUGGCUACACUUUGAACCUACUGCUGAAGGAGGCCACAAGGAAAAGCUCUGACUUUGGCGUAUCUGGCUUAGCUACGCCAGCCCACCUUUAUUGGUUGAUCCUCGGGGCUCCUAAUGACUGAGAAGUGAACAAUCAAGUGCACAGGUCAGCUGUUUAAAUAUUUAAUUUAACACAGUCCAAACAUCAGGAAGCCUCUGGCCAUGUCACAUGAGGCCCUCGUUGUUCCUAUAAUCAUCAGAUGGAAAACCAACCAUACCUUCACAGCUUCUGUUGUCUGAGAUUUCUGAGGCCUGGUCUACACUACAAAGUAUUUUCACCAUAGCUACCUUGGUCAGGGGUGUGAAAAAAUCACAUACCCCUAGCCGUCAUAUCUAUGCCAUCAAACCCACCCUGUAGCAGGGUGCUGGUGCAAAAGCAUCUAAUUAGCCCCUGCCCAGUCAGCUCCAAUCAGGGGAAAUAGAUUGGGGCUGAUGGAAAAGGCCUGAUGCUGGCCUGAGGAUUGGCAACACCUGCUGGCCUGACAACCCAAGGGCUAUAAACGGGGAGGGAGGCAGUCAGGUUGGGAACUGGAGGCCUCCCAGCUGAAGGCUGAUGCUGCCUGUAAAUGAGACUGAAUAAUCCUGUAAUGCUUGUAUAUUGAUAGACACUGGUGGUGGGAUAACCUUAAGUAAAUAAAGACAAAGUCCCUGUUACACAUGGGGGCUUGUCCAGGAUCCUUUGCUGGUGACCCGGAAAUGGAGGACACUCUGCUGUGGCUCACAGAGUAACAUAGAGAGAUGCAGAAGACACUGCAGGCCUUUCAGCAGUCCCACCAGCUGGAGAGGCAAGCUUUACUGGCUCGGCAGGCUGAGCAGCAACGGACUUCGCAAGAUUCAAGGAACAGGCAAUGGUGCAGCAGCAGCUCCUGCAGAAACUGAAGCCUCUGUCAAAAGGACGGAGGACUACGCAGGGGCAGACUUCCCCUCGAGGGAGCAUCGGACCCUGUGAGAUACAGAGGGAGGCAAGAAACCCGUGAGCACCCUGCUGGGAAGCUGGUAGACAAGCGACGGGAGGAGAACAAGGGAAGCCCUAGACACCUGGGACAACUUGUAUGCUGGUGCUGUGGAUAGCCAGGGCAUAAGAGCUGUGACUGCCUGGUGAUGGACUGUGGGGACGCUGAAUUUUGUGGUUGGACCAAGGUUGUGGGGUGGAAGAAGAGGUGUGGG